rnacentral:misc_RNA from 1 species
UGCCCGGCCCCACGUCGACGGAAGUGGCGCUGGCGAUCGGACAGAAGCGAGCCGGCACGCGAGGGCUACUCCUGGCGGGGCUUGGGUUCAUCGCCCCUGCCGUGCUGGCGGUCCUCGCGAUCGCCAUGGUCUACCAGCGCCUCGGGAGCCGGCCCGAAUUCGGCUGGAUCCUGUACGGCAUCCAACCGGUGGUCGUGGCCGUCGUCGCGGUUGCCGUCGCCACCCUCGCCCCGACGGCGCUCCGUGGACCGAUCACGAUCGUGCUGGCGGUCGGAGCGGCUGCGCUGACGCUCCUCGGUGUCGACCCGGUCGUGGUGAUCGUCGCGGGGCUCCUCGCCGGGAUGGUGCUGGGCCUCGUGCGGACAACGGAGGGAGAUCGCGCCUGGCUCCAGGGCAUCAUGGUCGCAAGCUUGCCGGCGACCAUCGCCUCUCCCGUCGCAGCGAUCGGUUCGGUCUCGCUCGUGGGGUUGUUCGGGUUGUUUCUGAAGGUCGGGACCUUCUCGUUCGGGUCGGGUUACGUCCUGCUUGCAUUCCUGCGCACCGACGUCGUGGCAACCGGCCUGUUGACCAACCAGCAAUUGCUCGACGCCACCGCGGUGGGCCAGGUCACGCCGGGCCCGGUCUACACGACGGCCACGUUCAUCGGCUACCUGCUGCUCGGAGCGCCGGGUGCCGUCGUCGCGACGGUCGCCAUCUUCCUGCCGGCCUUCGUUGGCGUGGCGCUGGUCAGUCCAUUGAUCCCGCAGCUCCGUGCACAGCCCAUUGCCGCGGCGGUCUUGGACGUAAUCGGCGCCGUGGCCCUCGGAUUGAUCGCCGCAGUGACGAUCGAGCUGGCACGAAGCGCACUCGUCGACGCGGUGACGAUCUCGAUCGCCGUGGUUUCACUGGUCAUCCUGAUGCGCCGUCCGCGUGCCGCGGUGCCGCUGCUGCUGGCCGGCGGCGUGCUGGGGUUCGCAGGUAAUGCGGUGCAUCUCGUCUGAGCACCCUGCUCCGCGCCUAGCGGUAGUUCGAGAAGAUGUGAUCGUUGGUUCCACGGACGAACAGCCACAGGUGCCCGACCAGGACGGUCGGCGCGACCCCAUACCACGUCGAGCCGUCGCCCGGGAUCUCCGACCAGCCGAGCCACAGGUCGUUGUACCGGUUCGCGUAGAUGUGAUUGUCACCGCUGCCUCCCCGGGCCAGGAGCCACAUGAAUCCGCCGAAUGAGACGGCGGCCGGACGCGCCCCGGUGCUCUGCCCGCCGGGAACUUGCACCCAACCCAACCAGGAAUUGCCGAAGUACCGGCCGUGGUGGAUCUUCAGAUCAUCGCCCGUGACGAACAGCCACAGGCGGUUGUUGUAGACCGCGGCCGCAGGCGUGGUCUGUGCCGUUCCGUUGCCGGGAACGGGGGCCGAGGACGACCAGGACGUCCCGUCGAAGAUGCUCCGGUUGAUGUGGAGAUCGUGGUCCAACACGAACAGCCAAAGCUUGUUGUUAUACGCAGCGGCGCCUGUACCGGCUUCCGUCGUCGGUGCUCCCGGUACCUGCGCCCAUGGUGACCAGUCGGUCCCGUUGAAUCGGGUCCGGUAGACGUGCUUGUUACUGGAACUCGUGGCAAACACCCAGAGCCGAUUCCCGUAGACGACCGCGGUCGGUUCCGAGAGCGAGG